ACAUAAAAGAAAAUUUGGUUAUUAGUAUAUGAAUUGACUAAACACAGUAGACUUGGACUUUAGUCUAAAGAUACUCCCACUAUUUUAUACAAAUUGGUAGCCUCUACCUCCAAUUCGAAAGAUUACUCCUAAUUCUUUAGUGGGCACUAGAACCCAAUAGAUCGCAUAUAGGCCCGAGUGUGGCUCGGUUAACCCAUAUGCACCUAUUGGUAGGUUCUAAACCAGUUGCUUCACCAAGCAACUUCUAGUGAUAAUUUUGCCCUAGGUUCUUCGGCAGGCGUGUGGCGCCUCCACCGAAUACCCUAGUUAGGUCCAACCAUUAAAUGAUAGGGUUAAGUCUAAUCAACUAAUAGACGACCAAGCCCGAGUGUGGCUCGGCUCACCUGACCGCCUAUUGAAGGUACACUUAACUCAUCAUAUAUUGAAUGACAACUCCAAUGCUUGAUAAGUACCAGGUGUGUCGCGCCUCCAAUAAUUAUCAAAACAUUGGACCCAUUAUCACCCAACUUAAUGGGAGGCUAUGACCUAGUUAUCCCCAUAACCAU
rnacentral:lncRNA from 1 species